rnacentral:lncRNA from 1 species
CUGAUGGAUGAUGAUGAUGAUGCGUGGUUAACCAAACCAAUUAAUGCAGCAAAGCAAAGCAACGAGAAGAGAUGACAUAUAUAUGUGUAAUAAGUAGAGAGUAGUACAAUGCAAUGCAAGAAACAGAUAUAUAUUACGCACCGUCCUUUGCUGCUAGAUCGACCAUGAUGUCGUCGAUGCCCUUCUCCAUGCCCUUGAGCCCGCACAUGUAGACGUAGGUGUUGUCCUUCUUGAGCAGCUCCCACAGCUCCUCCUUGUACUCCGCCAUCCGCGUCUGGAUGUACAUCUUCUCCCCCGCCGCGUUCGUCUGCUCCCGGCUCACCGCGAAGUCCAGCCGGAAAUUUUCAGGCGCCAUCUCCUUCAUCUUCUCCAGCUCCUCCUUGUACAGCAGGGUGUCGCUCGUCGGGACUCCCAGGAACAGCCACGCAAGGCCGGUGUACUAUAUAUAAUUUCAGUCAGUUCAUUCCAUUCCUCACACUGAUUUGUAUGUAAAUUGCAUUAUUGUCUGUCUCUGUUGUUUAAUUGAGACUGGCUGCAGGGAGCACAGAUACACACUCUCACCUUGUAGUCCUCGUGCUCCUCGAAGAACAUCUUCCACAAGAAGGAGCGGAACGGAGCGAUACCAGUACCCGUUGCGAGCUGCAUUAUAUGCAUCACGUUUCACAUGUUCAGUUGUUUCAUUCAGUUUACCAGUGCGACAAGCAUGCAUAUAUGCAUGAUGGACUGGUUGCACUGCAAAUUAAACAGAUAGCUAGCUAGAAAUUUAAUUGUUCAUUGGAUGGAUCAGAUGAGCUGAAUAAUCACCAUGAUGAUUGUUGCAUUGGGGUCUUUGGGCAUGAGCAUCUCCUUGCCCACUGGCCCUGUGAUCUUCACCUCAGAGCCGGGCUUCAGGUCACCUGCAUGCACAGGAUAUAUAUCAGUCAGCGUACUAGCGAGAUCCUCUGAACACACAUCUCCGAUGCCUUGAAAAUGACUCUAAUCCUUAAUUUGACAGGUUUUAUGCUUAGUCUGCAUCGAACAAUUAAAUCAAAUUCGAACUAAAACAAGACAGAGAGGAAAGAAAACUGACACAGGAAGUUUGAGCAGACUCCUUUGACGAUCUCCCCUUGAUCGUUGGUGUAGACU